UCUUCUUUGCUGGCGACCGGCGCACGGGUGAGUAACACGUAUCCAACCUGCCCUUUACUCGGGGAUAGCCUUUCGAAGGAAAGAUUAAUACCCGAUAGCAUAAUGAUUCCGCAUGGUUUCAUUAUUAAAGGAUUCCGGUAAAGGAUGGGGAUGCGUUCCAUUAGGUUGUUGGUGAGGUAACGGCCCACCAAGCCUUCGAUGGAUAGGGGUUCUGAGAGGAAGGUCCCCCACAUUGGAACUGAGACACGGUCCAA
rnacentral:rRNA from 1 species